ACUCCUGGGCUCAAGCAAUCCACCUGCCUUGGCCUGCCAAAGUGCUGGGUGUGAGCCACUGCACUUGGCCAAAUUUAGUAUUUUGAUCGAGCAAGUAUAACUCUUCUCUCUUCAUUUUUGUACCUCCAAAUACUGAACUUGUGUCAAAUGUCCAUGGGGGGGAAUGUCUACCUCCAUAAGAAUGAAAUGGCCAAGGACAAUCUGUUGUACAUAAAUUAAUAUAUAACAUUCAACUUUUUAUAAAAAGGGUAUAUCUGUGAACUUUCUAUAUGUAUACAUCAAAAAUAUCUUUUAAAAGGGAUAUGUACUUCACUGGACAGAUCAGUUGUCCAUAGCUACUCAGGCUACAAGGACGUUAAAACUUAACGUUUGUUUAAAGUAUCCUCAUCCAGCCUUAAUGCAAGCCUUGCUGAAAUGAUUCUACAUCUCGUUACUUCCUCUCUUCAUUUCUCCACACAAAGACCUUAUUUGCAAACUUUACCCAUAUUCAGCCCGCUCCAGAUGUUCCAAAGACAAACAAUUAUAAUGACCAACUCAGUGUUUGCUGCAUUUUCAUAAGCACCUGGUGAUCUCUCACAAAUGAUGAUGGAGUUCUUUAGAAGCAGAGAUUCUCCAUCCUCUGAUAGUCUUCUUUCUGAUUUAGCUAUCCAGCCUUUUUUUUCCUAGAUUGUUAGCAAAUUCAAAAGAAUGUCACCAGUCGAAUUUUCGAGGAACAGAGAAAGCAGUGAUUCCAGCUUGCAAAUUUACUUUCUGUGCACUCAGAUGUGUGGGGGAAAUGCAGUUACUUAAUUAUCUAUGAAUCCUUUUCUGUACUAGCAUCCACUUCCCCAAAUUUAAACUUAUCAGUUAAUAAUAUUGCAGUCUCUUCUGCUUUAGACAGUCACCUCUCCAGUUAAAUAUUCUCUUUAUUCAAAGUUGAACUCACUCUCAGGGUGGGUGUGAACUGUCCCUGUUUUAUCCUCCAUUUUUUUUAGGUGAGCACCUUUGGAAACAUAGGGUCCUUGUCCCAUGUGGGCACACAGAGAUGAGAACAUUGCCACGGGCCUCUCCACACUUACAUAUUCCAGUUCUGACUUAACUGUCACCCUCAUGCUAAGUGUGGCUUUCAACUGUGUCAUGUUGAGCUACUCUCUUGUACCUUCAUUAGUUUUGAUCAUCUACAUAUAUUAUUAUUCAAAAAGGAAAAUAACUCAAGAUUCCAAAGUAUUUUUUUUUCUUAGUGAUACUUCUCAGAACCUGGGUUUUCAUCACUUCUCUUUAAAACUCACUCUGUAGAUAGGUACUUGCUGUUCUUAGAUAUCGUUUCUCAAUACCAAUGGUGACUUUCCGACGCCUCAGAUUCUUCCUGCUCUAUGAAAGGUCCAACAAUCCCAGAACAUAGAUCAGCCAGUUUUCUUUGGCCUUAAACCACCACAGGAAUCUCAGCUGAUAAAUUCUGCCUUACCUUCCUGCCAAAUUAAUUAUGUGUUGUUCGGCAAACAGUUCUGAAUUGUCUCUCUGCAGACGGCUUUGUGCAAAGACCUGUGGGAGGCACAAAAAAUGAAUAGGAUAUAGUCCUUUUUCUAAGAAGCUUAGAGUGUAAACACAAAGUUGAAACCAUCACGGUCCUAUUUAUCAUGGACAGACUCUUCCAUUCUUCUCUUUCUUUGUCCCAUAAGAGUAAUAUGAAAGGGGAAGGGAAAGUACUUUUUUCUUUUUACCAAGAAAGGCAGUUUACUAGAGGUGGUGGGCUGUAAUAGACAGUGGUGAGGGUUCCAGAAUUUUGCCUCACACAUGGACGUGGAUGUGGGGGUUUGGACAAAGUGUGGCCUCUGAGUCUCACAAGGUAGCUGGCCUGUGCCUGGGCUCUCUGCUGUCCUACCAGUUAAGCUGCAGUGAAGUAAAUCAUUUGUGGUAAGACCAAGAAGAAGAUAAAAAAACAUAUAAUGAGAAGGACUUGGCAUUUUAACAUAAGAUACUACUUUUAAACCUGUUUACAAAAUAAUUUAUGAAGACAUCUUUAUUUAUGGAAUGUUUAUAAAGAAAAAAAAAACAAAUUCAACUAAUAUAGGAAGCUGGUAAUGAAAUCUUUUUAAAUGAUAGAUGACCAUUUUAAUUCCUAUAAGGUAUAUUUUUAUGACUUCAAGCUUUUUAAGUGAGCAAAAAAUGAUAAUAAUGAUGAAAGCCUUGGUACACGGUAAUCCAGCACAGCCCGAGCUCUAAAUCACGGCAUAGACACCAUGAAAAACACAUUAUUGCCAAAACUAGGCUAAGGAUUUAAUAUUUAUUUCAUUCUGCUUUACCAGCCAAAAUUGUAUGGCUUGUCACAGCCUGUAUUUUCUCAUUAUUACAUUAGCAAAGAACACUGAGCUUUAUUGAGGAAAUUAAAUUAAAUUGAAAAGGAAGUGUUCAGCUCUAACUAGACUGGCACAAUACAAGGAAUUCUAGAACUGUACUCUGAGGGGUCUACUUUGUGAGAAAUGGCAGGCCCUUGGACUCAUUUUUCCCUAAACCAGUAUUUUCAGAAACACCUAUUUGCAUAAAAUCUCCAGGACACUAUUUUGAAUUUUCUUACAUUGUUGAAAUAACAAAAAUGUAUUUGCCAGUCAUUAAGUCCUUGUUCAGGGACUAGAUUCUAGGCCAACUGGAAGCAUUACUCAGGACCUUUGAUAUAUUUUCCUGUCAGCUCCGCAUAUUGUUAAUUCAGUUGUUCUUCAGAUCUACCAUCAAAGAUUGAUCAAGUGAGACAGAACAUAGCAAGCUCUGUUCUAUGUCACUUGAUAGGACACAGCAGAAAAUUUGCUAUUUCUGUCUCACUUGAUCAGUCUUUAGUUAAGAUUCCAAAUUACUAAUUUCUGUUUUUUUCUUGGCCAUCUCUAGCUCAUCAUUGGCAAUGAGUGAGUUAAUGCUAAAAAGGGAUAGGCAUGCAUUUUAUGUAAGCAUUUCAAAAUAACACACUAAAUUUUAAUUUUGAAAAGUUUAUACAAUAAAAAUAUAUAAAAGUAAAUCAAAUAUUAUAAUGAAUCCACGUAUACUCUGUGCUCUAUUUUUAACUCAUAGCCAGUCUAGGUUUUGUUUUGUUUUGUUUUUAUACUGCUUCUCUUCCUGUAUAAUUUGAAAUACAUCCAAAACAUCGCAUCAUUUUACUCACAUGUAUUCUAGUAGGAAUUGCUAAACACUAAGGACUCCUUAAAAAAAAAAAACAAAAAAAAACACUAUAAUACCAUUAUAAUGGAUUAAAAAUAUCAAUUCUUACAAAA